UACAGAGGUCUCAAGCGUUGUUCGGAUUCAUUGGGCGUAAAGGGUGCGUAGGUGGCGCUGUAAGUCAGGUGUGAAAUUUCGGAGCUUAACUCCGAAACUGCAUUUGAUACUGCGGUGCUUGAGGACUGGAGAGGAGACUGGAAUUUACGGUGUAGCAGUGAAAUGCGUAGAGAUCGUAAGGAAGACCAGUGGCGAAGGCGGGUCUCUGGACAGUACCUGACACUGAGGCACUAAGGCCAGGGGAGCAAACGGG
rnacentral:rRNA from 1 species